GUGCUCGCUUUGGCAGCACGAGUACUAAAAUUGGACCGAUACAGAGAUUAGCAUGGCCCCUGUGCAAGGAUGACACACAAAUUUGUGAAGUGUCCCAUAUAUUA